rnacentral:lncRNA from 1 species
CACACUCAUCGUAGCAGAGAGGCAGGACCAACUGGGAGAGGGUCCUUCUGUGACACCUACUGCAUCACCGGGCUGUGUGAAGUGACUCAGCUGCCAGAACUCACACAAUAUCAUUCUACACCAAAACCUCAUGGGAAAAAUGCUCCACGACCCUCAGGCUUAAACAGCAGUACUGGCCCCUCCCCAGAUCUCCAGCUCCCUGACCCUCAAACUCCAACUGCAGCACCAGCUCCGCCCCGGGUCUCCAGCUCCACAAUCCUCAAACUACAACAGCAGCACCAGCUCCCCUGUGGAUCUCCAGCUCAAUGACUCUCAGACUUGGGAGGCGGCACCGGCUCCCCACCAAGCCUCCAGCUCCACAACCUUCAAACUAGAACAGCAGCACCGGCUACCCCCUGGGUCUCCAGCUCCCUCAAAAUUCAACUAUAGCACUGGCUCUUCCCCGAGCCACCAGCUCCACAACCCUCAACUUACACAGUGGUAGCACCAGCUCCUCCCUAGGUCUCCAGCUACACGACCGUCAAACUUGAACUGCAACACCAGCUCCUCUUCGGCCUCCAGCUCCACAAUCCUCCAACAACAACAGCAACACCGGCUCCUCCCUGAAUCUCCAGCGCAACAACCCUCAGACUUGAGAGGUAGCACCGACACCUUCCCCAAGGCUCCAGCUCCAUGACCCUCAGAUUUGAACAGCGGUAGCACCAGCUCCUGUCCAGGUCUCCAGCUUCAUGAUCCUUAAACUAGAACAGCAGCACUGCCGCCUCCCUGGGUUUCCAGCUCCAUGACCCUAAGACAUGAAUGAAAGAACUGGGUCACCCCAGGGCUCCAACUCCAAGACCCACAGAUUUGAACGGCAGCACCGGCUCUUCCUGGGAUCUGCAGCUCCACAGCCUUCAAACUAGAUCAGCAGCACCGGCUCCUCCCUGGGUCUCCAGCUACACAAUCCUCAGACAUGAACAAUAGCACCGGCUCCUCCCUGGGUCUCCAGCUUCACUACCCUCAGACUAGAACAGCAACACUGGUUCCUCCCUGGGUCUCCAGCUCUACAAUCCUCAGACAUAAACAGCAGCACCACCGGCUCCUACCCUUGUCUCCACUUCCACGACCCUCAAACUACAACAGCAGUACCGGCCUCUCCCCAGGUCUCCACAUCCAUGACCCUCAAAAUAGAAUGGCAUCAUCGGAUCCCUCCUGGGUCUCCAGCUCCCAAACCCUCAAACUUCAAUUGACACACCGGAUCCUCCCCACAGUUAAACAGCAGCACAGGCUGUUCCCAAAAGCUCCAGAUCCAUGAUCCUCUGACUUAAAUGGCGGUAGCACCGGCUCCUCCCCAGGUCUCCAGUUCCACAACCCUCAAACUACACAGCAGCACCGGCUCCUCCCCAGGUCCACAGCUCCACCACCCUCAUACUAGACACCAAGACUACCUCCUCCCUGCUCUCCAGCUACACGACCCUCAGUCUUGAACAGCAGCAGCUCCUCUCUGUACCUCAAGCCCCACGACCCUCAGACUUGAACAAGAACAACACCAUCUCCCCCCAGGGCUCCAGCUCGGGGACCUACAGAUUUAAACAGCAGCACCGGCUCUUCCUGUGAUCUCCAGCUCCACUAACCUCAAACUAGAAUAGCAGCACCGGCUCCUCUUUGGGUCUCCAGCUUCACUACUGUCAGGCUGGAACAGCAACACCGGUUCCUCCCUGGGUCUCCAGCUCAACGACUCUCAGAUUUGAAAGGCAGCACCGGCUCCUCACAAAGUUUCUGGCUCCAAGGCCCUCAAACUAGAAUAGCAGCAGCUGCUGCAUCUUGGGUCUCCAGCUCCACAACCCUCAAAGUAGAAAAGCAGCCCUGGCUCCUCCCUGCCUCUCCAGCUCCUCAAGUCUGAGUGUUGUAGAGCUGGAGACGCAGGGAGGAGUCAGUGCUGCUGUUCUAGUUUGAGGGUCGUGGAUCUGGAGACCCAGGGUGGAGCCGGUGCUGCUGUUCUAGUUUGAGGGUCAUGGAGCUGGAAGACCCCGGGAGGAGCUGCUGCUGCUGUUCUAGUGUGAGGGUCAUGGAGCUGGAGACCCGGGAAGGAGUCAUUUGAACAGCAGCACUGGCCCCUCCCCAGGUCUCAGGCUCCACGACCCUCAGACUUAAAAAGCCGUAGUACGGGCUUCUCCCUGGGUCUCCAGCUCUACAACCCUCAGACAUGAACAGCAGCACCGGCUCCUCCCCCUGUCUCCCGUUCCAUGACCCUCAAACUACAACAGCAGUACCAGCCUCUACCCAGGUCUCCAGAUCCACGACCCUCAAAAUAGAAUGGCAUCACCAGCUCCUCCCUGGGUCUCCAGCUCCCAAACCCUCAAACUUCAACUGACACAGCAGAUCCUCCCCACAGUUAAACAGCAGCAUGGGCUGUUCCCCAAAACUCCAGAUCCCUCUGACUUAAAUGGCGGUAGCACCAGCUCCUCCCCAGGUCUCCAGUUCCAUGACCCUCAAACUACAACAGCAACACAGGCUCCUCCCUGAAUCUCCAGCUCAACAACUCUCAGACUUGAGAGGCAGCACCGGCAACUCCCCAAGGCUCCAGCUCCACCACCCUCAGAUUUGAACAACCGUAGCACGACCUCCUGACCAGGUCUCCAGCUUCAUGAUCCUUAAACUAGAACAGCAGCACCGCUGCCUCCCUGGGUUUCCAGCUCCACGACCUUAAGACACGAAUGGCAGAACUGGCUCCCCACCAGGGUUCCAGCUUCGGGACCUAUAGAUUUAAAUGACAGCACCGGCUCUUCCCAGGAUCUCCAGCUCCACUCCCCUCAAACUAGAACAGCAGCAUCAGCUCCUCCCUGGCUCUCCAGCUCCCAAACCCUCAAACUUCAACUGACACACAGGAUCCUCCCCACAGUUAAACAGCAGCAUGGGCUGUUCCCCAAAACUCCAGAUCCACAACCUUCUGACUUAAAUGGCGGUAGCACUGGUUCCUCCCUAGAUCUCCAGUUCCAUGAUCCUCAAAUUACACAGCAGCACUGGCUCCUCCACAGGUCUCCAGCUCCACCACCAUCACACUAGACACCAAGACUACCUCUGCCCCUCUCUCCAGCUACACGACCCUCAGACUUGAACACCAGCAGCAGCUCCUUCCUGUACCUCAAGCCCCAUGACCUCGGAUUUGAACAACAACAACACCAGCUCCUGCCUAGGGCUCCAGCUGCAGAACCCACAGAUGUAAACGAUGGCACCGGCUCUUCCCAGGAUCUCCAGCGCCACUACCCUCAAACUAAAACAGCAGCACCAGCUCCUUUCUGGUUCUCCAGUUCCAUAACACUCAGGCAUGAACAGCAGCACCCACUCCUCCUUCCGGCUCAAGAUUCACUACCCUCAGACUAGUACAGCAAAACCGGUUCCUCCCUGGAUCUCCAGCUAAAUGACUCUCAGACUGGAAAGGCAGCACCAGCUCCUCCGUGGAUCUCCGGCUCCACGACACUCAAAACAACACGGCUCCUCCCUGGGUCUGUACCUCCAUGACCCUCAAACUACAACAACACUGCUCCUCCCUGGCUCUGCAGCUCCACCACCCUCAAACUAGAACAAGACUUCUCCUCCCCAGGGUGCCAGCUACCGAACCCUCAAAUUACAACAACAUUGCUCCUCCCUGGGUCUGUAGCUCCAGGACCCUCAGACCAGAACAAGACCUCUCCUCCCUGAGUCUCCAGCUUCCGGACCCUUGAAUUACAACAACAUUGCUCCUGCCUGGGUCUGCAUCUCCACAACCCUCAAAUUAAAACAAGAUCUCUCCUCCCUGGGUCACCAGCUUCGUGACCCUCGAACUAAAACAACAAUGCUCCUGCCUGGGUCUGCAGCUCCACGACCCUGAAACUAGAACAAGACUUCUCCACCCUGAGUCACCAGCUUCCUAACCCACGAACUACAGCAACAUUGCUCCUGCCUGGGUCUGCAGCUCCAUGAACAUCAAACUAGAACAAGACUUCUCCUCCCUGGGUCGCCAGCCUUCUGACACUCAAACUAAAACAACAGUGCUCCUGCCUGGGUCUGCAGCUCCAUGACCCUCAAACGAAAACAAGACCUCUCCUCCCUGGGUCGCCAGCUUCCUCACCCUCAAACUACAACCAAAUGGCUCCUCCCUGGUUCGGAAGCUCCACGACCCUGAAAUUCGAACAAGACUUCUCUUCCCCCGGUUGCCAGUUACCGGAACCUUGAAUUAUACCAAAAUUGCUCCUCCGUGGGUCUGCAGCUCCACGACCCUCAGACCAGAACAAGACCUCGCCUCCCCUGGGUCGCCAGCUUCCUGACCCUCGAAUUACAACCAAAUUGCUCCUCCCUGGGUCGACAGCUCCACGACCCUCAAACUCGAACAAGACUUCUCCUCCCCGGGUUGCCUGCUACCGGACCCUUGAAUUACAACAAAAUUGCUCCUCCCUGGUCCGGCAGCUCCACGAUCUUCAAACUAGAACAAGACCUCUCCUCCCUGGGUCGCCAGUUUCCGGACCCACCAAUUACAACCAAAUUGCUCCUCCCUGGUUCGGCAGCUCCACAACCCUCAAACUAGAACAAGACCUCUCCUCCCUGGGUCUCCAGCUUCCAGACCCUCGAAUGACAACCAAAUUGCUCCUCCCUGGGUCUGCAGCUCCACCACCCUCAAACUAAAACAAGACCUCUCCUCCCUGGGUCACCAGCUUCCUGACCCUCGAACUACAACAAAAUUGCUCCUCCCUGAUCAGCAGCUCCAACAGCCUCAAACUCGAACAAGACUUCUCCUUCCCAGGUUGCCAGCUACCAGACCCUCGAAUUACAACAACAUUGCUCCUCCCUGGGUCUGCAGCUCCACGACCCUCAGACCAGAAGAAGACCUCUCCUCCCCUGGGUCGCCAGCUUCCUGACCCUCGAAUUACAACCAAAUUGCUCCUCCCUGGGUCGGCAGCUCCACGACCCUCAAACUCCAACAACACUUCUCUUCCCUGGGUUGCCAGCUACCGGACCCUUGAAUUACAACAAAAUUGCUCCUCCCUGGGUCUGCAGCUCCACGACCCUCACACCAGAACAAGACCUCUCCUCCCUGGGUCGCCAGCUUUCGGACCCUCCAAUUACAACAACAUUGCUCCUCUCUGGUUCGGCAGCUCCACGACCCUCAAACUACAACAAGACCUCUCCUCCCUGGGUCUCCAGCUUCCAGACCCUCGAAUUACAACAGAAUUGCUCCUCCCUGGGUCUGCAGCUCUACGACCCUCAAACUAGAACAAGACCUCUCCUCCCUGGGUCACCAGCUUCCGGACCCCAGAAUUACAACAACAUUGCUCCUGCCUGGGUCUGCAGUUCCACAACCCUCAAACUAAAACAAGACCUCUCCUCCCUGGGUCGCCAGAUUCCUGACGCACGAAUUACAACAAAAUUGCUCCUCCCUGGUCGGCACCUCCACGAGCCUCAAACUCGAACAAGACUUCUCCUCCCCAGGUUGCCAGCUACCACACCCUCGAAUUACAACAACAUUGCUCCUCCCUGGGUAUGUAGCUCCACGACCCUCAGACCAGAAGAAGACAUCUCUUCCCUUGGUCACCAGCUUCCGGACCCCCCAAUUACAACCAAAUUGCGCCUCCCUGGUUCGGCAGCUCCACGACCCUCAAACUAGAACAAGACCUCUCCUCCCUGGGUAGCCAGCUUCCGGACCCUCGAAUUACAACAGCAUUGCUCCUCCCUAGUUCGGCAGCUCCACGACCCUCAAACUAGAACAAGACCUCUCCUCCCUGGGUCUCCAGCUUCCAGACCCUCGAAUUACAACCAAAUUGCUCCUCCCUGGGUCUGCAGCUCCACCACCCUCAAACUAAAAGAAGACCUCUCCUCCCUGGGUCACCAGCUUCCUGACCCUCGAACUACAACAAAAUUGCUCCUCCCUGAUCAGCAGCUCCACCAGCCUCAAACUCGAACAAGACUUCUCCUUCCCAGGUUGCCAGCUACCAGACCCUCGAAUUACAACAAUAUUGCUCCUCCCUGGGUCUGCAGCUCCAUGACCCUCAGACCAGAAGAAGACCUCUCCUCCCUGGGUCGCCAGCUUCCUGACCCUCGAAUUACAACCAAAUUGCUCCUCCCUGGGUCGGCAGCUCCACGACCCUCAAACUCGAACAAGACUUCUCCUACCCGGGUUGCCAGCUACCGGACCCUUGAAUUACAACAAAAUUGCUCCUCCCUGGGUCUGCAGCUCCACGACCCUCAUACCAGAACAAGACCUCUCCUCCCUGCGUCGCCAGCUUCCUGACCCUCGAAUUACAACCAAAUUGCUCCUCCCUGGGUCGGCAGCUCUACGACCCUCAAACUAGAACAAGACCUCUCCUCCCUGGGUCGCCAGCUUCCGGACCCUUGAAUUACAACAACAUAGCUCCUGCCUGGGUCUGCAGUUCCGCAACCCUCAAACUAAAACAAGACCUCUCCUCCCUGGGACACCAGCUUCCGGACCCUCCAAUUACAACCAAAUUGCUCCUCCCUGGUUCGGCAGCUCCAUGACCCUCAAACCAGAACAAGACCUCUCCUCCCUGGGUCUCCAGCUUCCAGACCCUCGAAUUACAACCAAAUUCCUCCUCCCUGGGUCUGCAGCUCCACCACCCUCAAACUAAAACAAGACCUCUCCUCCCUGGGUCACCAGCUUCCUGACCCUCGAACUACAACAAAAUUGCUCCUCCCUGAUCAGCAGCUCCACCAGCCUCAAACUCGAACAAGACUUCUCCUUCCCAGGUUGCCAGCUACCAGACCCUCGAAUUACAACAACAUUGCUCCUCCCUGGGUCUGCAGCUCCACGACCCUCAUACCAGAACAAGACCUCUCCUCCCCUGGGUCGCCAGCUUCCUGUCCCUCGAAUUACAACCAAAUUGCUCCUCCCUGAUCAGCAGCUCCAGCAGCCUCAAACUCGAACAAGACUUCUCCUCCCGAGGUUGCCAGCUACCAGACCCUCGAAUUACAACAACAUUGCUCCUCAGUGGGUCUGCAGCUCCACGACCCUCAGACCAGAAGAAGACCUCUCCUCCCCUGGGUCGCCAGCUUCCUGACCCUCGAAUUACAACCAAAUUGCUCCUCCCUGGGUCGGCAGCUCCACGACCCUCAAACUCCAACAACACUUCUCUUCCCUGGGUUGCCAGCUACUGGACCCUUGAAUUACAACAAAAUUGCUCCUCCCUGGGUCUGCAGCUCCACGACCCUCAGACCAGAACAAGACCUCUCCUCCCUGGGUCGCCAGCUUCCUGACCCUCGAAUUACAACCAAAUUGCUCCUCCCUGGGUCUGCAGCUCCACGACCCUCAGACCAGAACAAGACCUCUCUCCUCCCUGGGUCUCCAGCUUCCGGACCCUCAAAUUACAACCAAAUUGCUCCUCCCUGGGUCGGCAGCUUCACGACCCUCAAACUCGAACAAGACUUCUCCUACCCGGGUUGCCAGCUACCGGACCCUUGAAUUACAACAAAAUUGCUCCUCCCUGGGUCUGCAGCUCCACGACCCUCAUACCAGAACAAGACCUCUCCUCCCCUGGGUCGCCAGCUUCCUGACCCUCGAAUUAGAACCAAAUUGCUCCUCCCUGGUUCGGCAGCUCCACGACCCUCAAACUACAACAAGACCUCUCCUCCCUGGGUCUCCAGCUUCCAGACCCUCGAAUUACAACAGAAUUGCUCCUCCCUGGGUCUGCAGCUCUACGACCCUCAAACUA